GGCCAUAACAGGGACCCGAAGCAGUGCCGCGUGAAACUUAAGGAGCUGAGGCAAGCCUACCAGAAAACCAGAGAGGCAAAUGGCCACUCCGGGUCAGAGUCCCAAAGAUGCCGCUUCUAUGAUGAGCUGCACGCCAUUUUAGGGGGCUCAGCCACCAUUACCCCAACCGUGUGCUUUGACUCCACCAAUGGAGAGGGAGGCAACACGGAAGCAGGUUUUGAGGAUGAGGAAGAUGAUGAGUUGUAGAUAGCUCACAGCAAGCAAGCGGAGAAACCGGUUUUCCUGACAGCCAGGAACUGUUUCCUACCCUGGACCUGGAACCAGUACCCCCCGAACUCACUCACGGCUGCCUCCUGGACCCGGCAGGCGGAGAGGGGAUCUCUGCUGCACAGGUUUCAAGGAUCACAGGAGCUUCUCCUUCCCAGAGGC